GACGAACGCUGGCGGCGUGCUUAACACAUGCAAGUCGAACGGAAAGGCCCUGCUUUUGUGGGGUGCUCGAGUGGCGAUCGGGUGAGUAACACGUGUGUAACCUGACCUUGACUUUGGGAUAACAUAAGGUAACUGGGGCUACUCUCGGAUAGGAGCUCACGUUGCAUGGUGAGGGUUGGAUCGUUUCGGCGGUCGGGGAUGGAUUCGCGGGUUAUCAGCUUGCUGGUUGGGUAGUGGCUUACCCAGGCUUUGACGGGUACCCGGCCUGUGAGGGUGACCGGCCACAUGGGUACUGAGAGACGGCCCAGACGCCUACGGUAGACAGCAGGGGGGAAUAUGGCACAAUCAUCGGAAGCCGGAGGCAGCAACGCUGCGGUCGGGAUGACGGCCUGCGGGUAGAAAACCGCAUUAGCCUGUGACGAAGCGUUAGUGACGGUAAUGAAUAAAUAAGCACCGGCUAACUACGUG
rnacentral:rRNA from 1 species